CGUAAACACGCCCAGCUUGUUCAGCGUGUUCUUCGUGGGACGCGACACGUGAGUCAGCAGCGACUGUUGAAUAGACGAACGAAUGCGAAAACGUUUCAAAUUAAAUAGAGCAUUAAAAGGCGAAAAGAAGAGCAGUACGGAAAGAAGAGGAGCCUCCCACUCUUCUGCUCGCACACCCAUGCAAAUAAGCCUUUGGCAUCCUGCAGUCGACUGAAGUUGUUCUCUUCACAGGCACACAACUGCACUUACCAUGGAGGGACGCACCUACCACCCCUCCCUCCCUCCCUUUUUCACGCCCCCUUUUAUACCCUCCCGCCCCUUUUAGCCUGCCAUUAAAAGCGCAAUCAACUUUCAACCCUUUCAGUCAGUCAGUCGGCGCUCGCAAAUCCUUCUAAGGUUGCCAACAGUUGGCGUGGGUCGAAGGUUGUCUUUAAGCCCAUUUAAGAUGCUUAAACUUUUGUUAUGGAGAUUAAUUGUGCAUGUUUGGGUUUUGAUUUGCGAACACACAGAGGGAAAGUAGCUCCGCCUUGGCCAUUGUGCAAAUAGGUAGAGGUAAUUAUAGACAACUCGAACCGAAGCAAAGGCUUCUAAACGGAAUUGUAAACGGGUUUUUCGGGUGGGUUAUUGUUGUUACGGGGAUUUGGGCCAAUGCCAUUGUGCCGGUCUUCUUAAGCUCUCGACCAGGCUGUGAAUCUGCUUUUGAUGUUUCCCUGAAGCGUGGCAAACUUAAGCCCAGUUGUGGCUUUAUCAAGCCGUUGUUCUGGCAUUGAACAGCGAUUAGGCAGCAGUUCAUCAAGGUGAUUCCGCACUGGAUUUGCUUAUUAUUUUCCAAUUCUUCUAAGCCCUUACGAAACUAACAUGAAGGCUGGCUUAUAAUAAAUCAGGAGCCUGAAUACCAUUUAAUUGGUUUUCACAUGCUACCAAUGUUGUUUAUUCAACGAGUUUUUGGGCAACAAUUUUGUUGGCCGAAUUAUACGGGCAUUAAGAGCUUUUAUAGUCAUUUUAUUUUGAGUAAUUAAAGCUUUGCCACCGAAAGCGAGUAGCUCUAAAUAAACAAUUGGAAACUAAAUAAACUGUUUGAUUAUAUUGGAUGCAUUAAAGGCAAAUAUUUAACUGUUUAAAUAUAAUAAUAAAGAGAGCAACUAAAUUAGGUAUGUUGUAGCUUAAAAAAUAUUCAAACAUAAUUUGUGAAAAAUUAAUGUAAAUUUCCAAUGUUAAUAAAAGAUGUUGCACGAUUAUAAUUCUAUUUUUUAAAGUGCUUCUAUUCCACUCAAAAAAAGUAUGAUCUAAAGGAAUAUAUUUGGUAUUUAGUUAGGUGGAAAUACAAACUGAUUGCCUAUAACCCUUUUGCUAUUUGCAAAAAUUCUUUUAUUUGGAAAUUAAAGAAGUGUGUAAGCUUCUAAAAGCGGUCUCUUCAAUUGCCCCGA